rnacentral:misc_RNA from 1 species
UAUUUAACUCAACCAAACACGUGUUUUCCAUCUGUCGUCACAGAGAAUGCAAUAAUGAUCUGUAUUUACUUUCCACCAGAAAAUCGAUAGUACAAAUCCAUCCUAAAUCCACCUUGGAACAAUAUGGUGCGAAGAUCGUCUACAUUCCUUACUCUGUAAGAACAUGUAUGAAUCCCUGGAGAAAUUGCAGAGUUGGAUGAAGGCUCUUAAACUGACACCAUUUACAUUUCGAGAUGGGUUAAAAUCAAAGACAAAAAAACCUCUGGCUGUUAUUUGAGACGUUGAAAAUGAGAUGCAAUCGAUCGAUUCCAAUAGUAGUUUUUGUAAUUAAGAAAUGCAGUUGAUGUCCAUUAUGUUUUACCUGCCGAAGAAACGAAAACAUUCUGCCAACUUGACCGCAGGCGGUACGAUUACGUCCCAGAAAAAUUUAGUUUUCUUUUUCUAGAAUAAGUCUGCGGUUAGGGCGCUCAAAACUCCGAAAAACUCGACCAAGCCGAGAACCUUGCGAAUGAAAAUGAGACAAAGGUGUUUGUAUUA